GAUGAACGCUGGCGGCGUGCUUAACACAUGCAAGUCGAACGGAGAUAUCAUUUUCGAAGCGAUUAGUUUACUAAGAGUGGAGAUGUUGCUAUCUUAGUGGCGGACGGGUGAGUAACGCGUGGGUAACCUGCCUUACACUGGGGGAUAACACUUAGAAAUAGGUGCUAAUACCGCAUAACAGUAGGAGACGCAUGUCUUUUACUUGAAAACUCCGGUGGUGUAAGAUGGACCCGCGUCUGAUUAGCUUGUUGGCGGGGUAACGGCCCACCAAGGCAACGAUCAGUAGCCGGCCUGAGAGGGUGAACGGCCACAUUGGGACUGAGACACGGCCCAA
rnacentral:rRNA from 1 species